CUCAAACGCUUCAAGAUGGUGAAUGCUAAAUUAUUUGAAUUUUGUCUCCAUCAAGAAAGAAGGAAAGCAAACAGGCUCUAAAUGGCAAAGGAAGGGAGGCACAGUGCAGAAACCUGAAGCUGUACGAUGUCUUCCAGGAACUGCAAACUAACCAGCUGGCAGGAGCAAGGCUGGUGUGUGGCCGUGUGCCAGGAAAGGGAUUUAGAAUUUAAUCUGAUGCCGACGGGCAGCGACGGUGGGUCUGAAGCAAGUAAACACAGUGGCCGGAUUUAGAGGCUGGGAAACGUCUUGAAGCUGCAAAGUUCUGGUGGUUCAAAAGCAUGGUGCUAGCCUCCACUUGGCUCUAGUGAGGACCUCAUGGAGGAUGACAUCACAAUGGUCCCAAGAGCUCCUGGGUGCUCCCAGGGAAGUGGUCACCAUCCAGACCUUAGCCUCGAUGCAAGGCAGAGCAGCCCUGGAGAGCCCAGUGUUGCCUUUAACUGAUGCGGCCUCUGAUCCCUACCACCCAGCCAUGUCUGCCACCUCUCAAUGCCACAGCCAGGACCUCGAACAUCACCACUGAGCAGAAGAGGCCUGAGAGGACCAGGGCAUAAGCCCCUAGCAACUGCACACCUCCUCUGUCCUGGGACAGUCCCAGGC
ensembl:lncRNA